GCAGCUCUAGUUUAAAGGUUUAACCAGCAUUUCAGUAACAGUUCAGUAAGAAAAUUAUUCAUAAAUACAUACUGUUGCAUUCUGGUGCUCAAGAGUGGCGACUUUUCCUUUCCUCUAGUAAUGAAAAAAGUUUGUAAGAAACGUACUUCGGUCUUUCAUUUUGUUAACUGUGUGUGUAAAGAUUGUGACUCUAUUUUGUAGAAUUUUCUGCGGACUGAAGCUUGCCAAACAUCUCCAAGACAGAAAAAGAGGAAGCAAAACAGGAGGAAGAAGGAAUGCAUGAGUUGGAAAAUAACUGACAGCCCUCAUUGUACCCUGACUGUCCUGUGUGCUCCAGGAAGUUAAACAAAGGUCUUAAAAUUUACAAGAAGUUCUCCAUUUGCUGUGGGCUUUUCUCUAAGGAAAUUAUUGCUUUUUCAUCUGCCAUUCAUCUCAUCCACAUAGGAACAAAGUGGAUUUUCAGACCCUUGGCCCAGACUUGGAGGCAGAGGAGCCCAUACGUUCAGAUGAAUGGUAAUGAGCAUUGCCAGAGAGGCAGGAAAAUUGAGUCCCCGGCUCUGGCUGCUGGGCUGAGAGCUGCAGGAGCUAAUUGUGUCAAUGGUAAUGAGACCGAGCAGGCAGCAGAUGCUCACGUGCCUUCACAAUCCAAAUCCCACCAACAAAUUCCUCCCACAGAAACUUUGAGGGACGUCUUGGCACCCUGGAGAUGGUGAUAGACCCGGUCCCAGCCACAUGCCACCUGCUAGAGCUAUUGUUUAAAAAAGAAGGAGAAAAAAAAAGCCUAUUAUGAUAACAAAGUUGUUUGCUGUCUCUUGCAAUGACUUUAUGGCACCAGUUUUACCAUACUGCAGCUAUUGAAAAAAAAAAAAAAAGAGGAACAUCUGAUUCUUUAAAGAGAAACAUUUGUAUUGAGCACUGUUAACAACUUACUUGGGAAGCCGGAUGUUCAGUAUAUGUUUCAUAUUCUGCUGAUAAACCAUGCCUGCCUUUUUCCCAUUACAGCUCCCACUGUGCCUGCUUCCUACAGCAGGUUUACAUUUCCACAUGUUUUCCCAUGACAUUGAAGCAGGGAGCAUUUUUUUUCCUUUUUUUUUUUUCCCAGAAAAAUCAGGAAUGAAAAAUGCAGAUACCCAUGUGUAGUGCUGUAUAAAUAUUUAUUGUGAAAUAAAAUAAACAACAUAUUUGGUCCUGAUUCACAAAGCAGGCUGGGUGGUGAACUGUGUCUGACUGUGCCUAUAGUUUUAUAGGGAGGAAGGCCGUUAGCACCCAGGUUCCCUUACUGGCCAUUAUUUGUAAUGCAAGCUUUCUAAAUGUUGCAGCAGGGAAAAGUUCAGAUUCUUCCAGGAAGCGUUUGCCCAAGAACAUCUAUUUCUGGAGAGGUCUGACCAAGUGUCCUUUAUGGCCCUCAGAAUUUGUGCCCAGCUUUGCACUCCUGUGAGGCUCACAUUAUUCAACAGAAUUUAAACUGCCCCCCAAACUGUUGAAAAUCCUUCCGUGGAUCGGGUUGGUUCUGAUCAGCAGCAGGGUCAGAGG